CUACGGGAGGCAGCAGUGGGGAAUAUUGGACAAUGGGCGAAAGCCUGAUCCAGCCAUGCCGCGUGUGUGAAGAAGGCCUUCGGGUUGUAAAGCACUUUCAGUGGGGAAGAAAGCCUUGGGGCUAAUACCCUCGAGGAAGGACAUCACCCACAGAAGAAGCACCGGCUAACUCCGUGCCAGCAGCCGCGGUAAUACGGAGGGUGCGAGCGUUAAUCGGAAUUACUGGGCGUAAAGCGCGCGUAGGCGGUCUGAUAAGCCGGUUGUGAAAGCCCCGGGCUCAACCUGGGAACGGCAUCCGGAACUGUCAGGCUAGAGUGCAGGAGAGGAAGGUAGAAUUCCCGGUGUAGCGGUGAAAUGCGUAGAGAUCGGGAGGAAUACCAGUGGCGAAGGCGGCCUUCUGGGCUGACACUGACGCUGAGGUGCGAAAGCGUGGGUAGCAAACAGGAUUAGAUACCCCGGUAGUC
rnacentral:rRNA from 1 species